rfam:Xenorhabdus vietnamensis strain DSM 22392 Xvie_2, whole genome shotgun sequence.
AAUGAUCAUCAAACCGUCUUUUUUAUUCUUUUUCUUUUUUUUCACCUUCUCAUGAGGAGGUUAUUUCGUUUCAAAAAAGAAUUGUAAGAAGACGAAUAAAAACCUCCCACCAGCAGGGAGGUUUUUUGUU